UACGUAGGGGGCGAGCGUUGUCCGGAAUCAUUGGGCGUAAAGCGCGUGUAGGCGGCCCGGUAAGUCCGCUGUGAAAGUCCAGGGCUCAACCCUGGGACGCCGGUGGAUACUGUCGGGCUCGAGUCCGGAAGAGGCGAGUGGAAUUCCUGGUGUAGCGGUGAAAUGCGCAGAUAUCAGGAGGAACACCAAUGGUGAAGGCAGCUCGCUGGGACGUGACUGACGCUGAGACGCGAAAGCGUGGGGAGCAAACAGG
rnacentral:rRNA from 1 species